rnacentral:rRNA from 1 species
UACGGAGGGUGCAAGCGUUAUCCGGAUUCACUGGGUUUAAAGGGUGCGUAGGCGGGCAGGUAAGUCAGUGGUGAAAUCUCCAGGGCUCAACCCGGAAACUGCUUCGCAUACUGGCGAGCUGGAGUGACGAAGAGGUUUGUGGAAUUCUUGGUGUAGCGGUGAAAUGCGUAGAUAUCAAGAGGAACACCUGAGGUGAAGACGGGUUGCUGGGCUGACACUGACGCUGAGUGCGCGAAAGCCAGGGGAGCAAACGGG